rnacentral:rRNA from 1 species
UACGGAGGGCUCAAACGUUGUUCGGAAUCACUGGGCAUAAAGAGCACGUAGGCGGCUUGUUAAGUCGGGUGUGAAAUCCCUCGGCUCAACCGGGGAACGGCAUUCGAUACUGGCAAGCUAGAGGACGGAAGGGGUGAGUGGAACUCCAGGUGGAACGGUGAAAUGUGUAGAUAUCUGGAGGAACACCGGUGGCGAAAGCGGCUCACUGGUCCGUAACUGACGCUGAGGUGCGAAAGCUAGGGUAGCAAACGGG